UACGAAGGGGGGCUAGCGUUGUUCGGAAUUACUGGGCGUAAAGCGCGCGCAGGCGGCUAUCCAAGUCAGUGGUGAAAGCCCGGAGCUCAACUCUGGAACUGCCUUUGAUACUGGGUAUCUUGAGUAUGGAAGAGGUAAGUGGAAUUGCGAGUGUAGAGGUGAAAUUCGUAGAUAUUCGCAAGAACACCAGUGGCGAAGGCGGCUCACUGGCCCGGUACUGACGCUGAGGUGCGAAAGCGUGGGGAGCAAACAGG
rnacentral:rRNA from 1 species